rnacentral:rRNA from 1 species
CCUACGGGUGGCAGCAGUGAGGAAUAUUGGUCAAUGGACGCAAGUCUGAACCAGCCAUGCCGCGUGCAGGAAGACGGCUCUAUGAGUUGUAAACUGCUUUUGUACGGGGGUAAACGCAGAUACGCGUAUCUGUCUGAGAGUAUCGUACGAAUAAGGAUCGGCUAACUCCGUGCCAGCAGCCGCGGUAAUACGGAGGAUUCAAGCGUUAUCCGGAUUUAUUGGGUUUAAAGGGUGCGUAGGCGGUCGGAUAAGUUAGAGGUGAAAUCGCGAGGCUCAACUUCGGAAUUGCCUCUGAUACUGUUCUGCUAGAGUGCAGUUGCGGUAGGCGGAAUGCAUGGUGUAGCGGUGAAAUGCUUAGAGAUC